CCCUUCCGCGCCGUCCUCCCGACGUGCUCCGCGAUAGCCAGGCGCUUGGCUAGAUUGAGAGGUUGCCGGUUGGGGUGCAGCGUCUGUUUCUCCGGACCAGUUCACCCUGGAGGGAUAGGGAUGAGUAGUCCCACAGAUGCGAUCCUCAUGCUGCCUGCUCCAUGGAGCUUUUGUGACACCCCAGAGGUCAGCUGGUCACAUCCAGCUGGGACACUGACCAUUUCCGUGUGCUGAAAACCCCUGAGUCCCGUCUUCUGGUGUCGGGAAAUGCAUGGCCAUCCUCUCACCCGCAGGACCGUCUUGCACAGCGGCGCACCAGAGCUGCUUCUCCUGUCACGCCAUUACUUGGCACCCACUGAUCAACCUUUCCUCUUCCCAGCCUCUGGGAACCACCACUCCGCUCUCAGCAUCUAUGGGAUCAGCUCUGUU